rnacentral:rRNA from 1 species
UGGGGAAUUUUGGACAAUGGACGCAAGUCUGAUCCAGCCAUGCCGCGUGCAGGAUGAAGGCCUUCGGGUUGUAAACUGCUUUUGUACGGAGCGAAAAGGUCUGCCCUAAUACGGUGGGCUCAUGACGGUACCGUAAGAAUAAGCACCGGCUAACUACGUGCCAGCAGCCGCGGUAAUACGUAGGGUGCGAGCGUUAAUCGGAAUUACUGGGCGUAAAGCGUGCGCAGGCGGUUAUAUAAGACAGAUGUGAAAUCCCCGGGCUCAACCUGGGACCUGCAUUUGGGACUGUAUAGCUAGAGUACGGUAGAGGGGGAUGGAAUUCCGCGUGUAGCAGUGAAAUGCGUAGAUAUGCGGAGGAACACCGAUGGCGAAGGCAAUCCCCUGGACCUGUACUGACGCUCAUGCACGAAAGCGUGGGGAGCAAACA